UGAGGAAUAUUGGUCAAUGGGCGAGAGCCUGAACCAGCCAAGUAGCGUGCAGGAUGACGGCCCUAUGGGUUGUAAACUGCUUUUAUGUGGGGAUAAAGUGCGUGACGUGUCAUGCAUUGCAGGUACCACAUGAAUAAGGACCGGCUAAUUCCGUGCCAGCAGCCGCGGUAAUACGGAAGGUCCGGGCGUUAUCCGGAUUUAUUGGGUUUAAAGGGAGCGUAGGCUGUUUGUUAAGCGUGUUGUGAAAUGUAAGAGCUCAACUUUUAGAUUGCAGCGCGAACUGGCAGACUUGAGUGCCCACAACGUAGGCGGAAUUCAUGGUGUAGCGGUGAAAUGCUUAGAUAUCAUGACGAACUCCGAUUGCGAAGGCAGCUUACGGGAGCGCAACUGACGCUAAAGCUCGAAGGUGCGGGUAUCGAACAGG
rnacentral:rRNA from 1 species